CAUUCCUUGUCUUACUAUUGUUAGGGGAAGCACAGUGACUGAAACCACCCACCCUGGCCAGGCACCACAGUAACCAUUUGCAUGAGUUGUUUUACAACAGAAGGUCCUCGUAAGGAACAAGGAACUAAUAAGCCACCACCAACUGGAAUAGUUCAGGAAAGGUCAAAAGGAGACAUCAUGUGUCCAACCAGAAUGCUUCUCGCUGGGAUCCAUCUUGCCUGAGCAAUGCAUGCACCACCAGGAAGGACUCUGAGUCAGAUGAUUGGCUAAAGACAAACCAGAAACUAAUCCUAUCACCAUAAAA